CUUAAAAUGGAUAAUAAGAGUAUAAAACGCCCGGGUGGCGCUGAGAAGCAUCGGGGAAAAAAGCUGAAGUCUCUGGAGGUGGAGGCUGCUACAUGUGCCAAACUGACGGACCUAUUUGGUGCCGGGUUCACCAGCCCAGCAGCAGCAGGUGCGCCGGGAGACGAGCGAGGAGGACUCGACAAUGAUGAGCGAGUGGAGGCAGACGUGGUAAGGAACGCUGGCCUGGGGCUGGCUAGGCUACAUUUUUGAGACAUGUCCAAAACAAAGUAGAACAUUUUUUGAUUUUGUUUUAAUAUGCCGAAUUGUGAUAUUAUGGGCUAUUAUUGUUCAGAUGAUUUAGCUAAGCUAGCUAAGAGCUGCUAACAUCGUUUACUGUUGCCAUAGCAACAGUAAACUUUCUUAGCCAUUGAAAACAGAAUACAAGUAAACCUAUAUGGAAUAAUUAGUUUAAUUUGAAAAAUUUGCCAGUUAUUAUCACACAUUGUCAUUGUUAAUCAUUUAUAAUCAUUAUGGAUGUAGUAAUUCAUGAUUUGUCAUUUUAAUAAUUCUUUUCAGAAGUUUUAUUGUGCUUAUGUGUUUAUCCUUAAUGGUGUGAUCAUGUACACUAAAUGAUCAAUUAUUCUCCAUUACAGGUUGUUGUGAUAUAUUUGAGGAGUCGUUCUCCCUCUGUUUUAUAUGUGGACAUUUGGGACCACUGUUAGAAUUUGACAUUAUAAUGUAUCCAUGUCCUUCUCCGGUUGACCACUUGACAUGUGAGAGCCUGAGGAGUUGUUCCCCCUCUGUCCAUGUUCGAGGACUUGCUCUCUGUCUGCCUCCACUCUCUGCCUUCACUGUACCAUGUCUGUUGAGUCUCCUCUAUUCUGGUUGACCACUUGACAUAUGAGAGCCUGAGGAGUUGUUUUCCAGACAGAGGUAGAGCUAACAGGGGCGUCACCCUGGGCCUGCCCUUUUGGGCUGGGCUUCAGCUGCAGAUCUAAAGGCUGCUUCCAGGGGCAUGGGGCCCUCAGCCUUUGUUUUUCUUUGAUUCUGCACCUUACAACAUACAUCACACCUUAUUUUCACACAUCCAAACACUGUUAACACCACUGACGCGUAACAUAUUUUACA